UAACAAAAACAUCACUAGAAGAUAAAGACUUUUAGCAAUACCUGCCCAGUGCGAAAUAUUACUGUAAACGGCCGCCCUAGCGUGAGGGUGCUAAGGUAGCGAAAUUCCUUGCCUUUUGAUUGUAGGCCUGCAUGAAUGGUUUAACGAGGGUUUAACUGUCUCUAAAUUUUUUAUUGAAAUUGUACUGAAGGUGAAGAUACCUUCAUUAAAAAGUUAGACAAAAAGACCCCGUGCAACUUUGAAAAUUGACUUUAUUCAGGAGUAAAAGAUUUUUAGGUGGGGCGCCUAGAAAGUAAGCCUAACCUUUCUGAGUAACUAACUCUUUCCGGAUUUGACCCGAUUAUAUUCGAUCAUAGGAGAAGUUACGCCGGGGAUAACAGGCUAAUCCUUUAGUAGAGUUCGUAUUGGCUAAAGGGAUUGGCACCUCGAUGUUGAAUCAGGGAUGAUAGCUUCAAGGCGUAGAGGCUUUG
rnacentral:rRNA from 1 species